rnacentral:rRNA from 1 species
CAGUCGCCGCGGUAAUACGGAGGGUGCAAGCGUUAUCCGGAUUUAUUGGGUUUAAAGGGUCCGUAGGCGGAUCUGUAAGUCAGUGGUGAAAUCUCACAGCUUAACUGUGAAACUGCCAUUGAUACUGCAGGUCUUGAGUAAAUUUGAAGUGGCUGGAAUAAGUAGUGUAGCGGUGAAAUGCAUAGAUAUUACUUAGAACACCAAUUGCGAAGGCAGGUCACUAAGAUUUAACUGACGCUGAUGGACGAAAGCGUGGGGAGCGAACAGGAUUAGAUACCCGGGUAGUCCCUGUCUCUUAUAA